rnacentral:rRNA from 1 species
UACGGAGGAUCAGAGCGUUAUCCGAAUUUAUUGGGUUUAAAGGGUGCGCAGGUUGUUUGAUAAGUCAGUGGUGAAAGUCUGUCGCUUAACGGUAGGAUUGCCAUUGAUACUGUUAGACUUGAAUAUGGAUGAGGUAGGCGGAAUGUGUAGUGUAGCGGUGAAAUGCAUAGAUAUUACACAGAACACCGAUUGCGAAGGCAGCUUACUAAUCCAUCAUUGACGCUGAGGCACGAAAGCGUGGGGAUCAAACAGGA